rnacentral:rRNA from 1 species
AGGCGAACCGGGGGAACUGAAACAUCUAAGUACCCCGAGGAAAAGAAAUCAACCGAGAUUCCCCCAGUAGCGGCGAGCGAACGGGGAGGAGCCCAGAGCCUGAAUCAGCAUGUGUGUUAGUGGAAGCGUCUGGAAAGGCGCGCGAUACAGGGUGACAGCCCCGUACACAAAAGCGCAUGUGCUGUGAGCUCGAUGAGUAGGGCGGGACACGUGGUAUCCUGUCUGAAUAUGGGGGGACCAUCCUCCAAGGCUAAAUACUCCUGACUGACCGAUAGUGAACCAGUACCGUGAGGGAAAGGCGAAAAGAACCCCGGCGAGGGGAGUGAAAAAGAACCUGAAACCGUGUACGUACAAGCAGUGGGAGCCCCACCACUAAGCCAGUGGUGAACUCCACAUACGCAUCCUUUGCUGAGGAUACGGUUAACGGAGCGAAAGCGACGUUCAACCUCAAAAGAAGCAGAGGGGGCUUAGUGGUGGGGUGACUGCGUACCUUUUGUAUAAUGGGUCAGCGACUUAUAUUCUGUAGCAAGGUUAACCGCAUAGGGGAGCCGUAGGGAAACCGAGUCUUAACCGGGCGUUAAGUUGCAGGGUAUAGACCCGAAACCCGGUGAUCUAGCCAUGGGCAGGUUGAAGGUUGGGUAACACUAACUGGAGGACCGAACCGACUAAUGUUGAAAAAUUAGCGGAUGACCUGUGGCUGGGGGUGAAAGGCCAAUCAAACCGGGAGAUAGCUGGUUCUCCCCGAAAGCUAUUUAGGUAGCGCCUCGUGAAUUCAUCUCCGGGGGUAGAGCACUGUUUCGGCUAGGGGGCCAUCCCGGCUUACCAACCCGAUGCAAACUGCGAAUACCGGAGAAUGUUAUCACGGGAGACACACGGCGGGUGCUAACGUCCGUCGUGAAGAGGGAAACAACCCAGACCGCCAGCUAAGGUCCCAAAGUCAUGGUUAAGUGGGAAACGAUGUGGGAAGGCCCAGACAGCCAGGAUGUUGGCUUAGAAGCAGCCAUCAUUUAAAGAAAGCGUAAUAGCUCACUGGUCGAGUCGGCCUGCGCGGAAGAUGUAACGGGGCUAAACCAUGCACCGAAGCUGCGGCAGCGACACUGUGUGUUGUUGGGUAGGGGAGCGUUCUGUAAGCCUGCGAAGGUGGCCUGUGAGGGUUGCUGGAGGUAUCAGAAGUGCGAAUGCUGACAUAAGUAACGAUAAAGCGGGUGAAAAGCCCGCUCGCCGGAAGACCAAGGGUUCCUGUCCAACGUUAAUCGGGGCAGGGUGAGUCGACCCCUAAGGCGAGGCCGAAAGGCGUAGUCGAUGGGAAACGGGUUAAUAUUCCCGUACUUGGUGUUACUGCGAAGGGGGGACGGAGAAGGCUAUGUUGGCCGGGCGACGGUUGUCCCGGUUUAAGCGUGUAGGUGUGUGUUCCAGGUAAAUCCGGUUCACUUUAACACUGAGGCGUGAUGACGAGGCACUACGGUGCUGAAGCAACAAAUGCCCUGCUUCCAGGAAAAGCCUCUAAGCAUCAGGUAACAUCAAAUCGUACCCCAAACCGACACAGGUGGUCAGGUAGAGAAUACCAAGGCGCUUGAGAGAACUCGGGUGAAGGAACUAGGCAAAAUGGUGCCGUAACUUCGGGAGAAGGCACGCUGACACGUAGGUGAAGUGAUUUACUCAUGGAGCUGAAGUCAGUCGAAGAUACCAGCUGGCUGCAACUGUUUAUUAAAAACACAGCACUGUGCAAACACGAAAGUGGACGUAUACGGUGUGACGCCUGCCCGGUGCCGGAAGGUUAAUUGAUGGGGUCAGCGCAAGCGAAGCUCCUGAUCGAAGCCCCGGUAAACGGCGGCCGUAACUAUAACGGUCCUAAGGUAGCGAAAUUCCUUGUCGGGUAAGUUCCGACCUGCACGAAUGGCGUAAUGAUGGCCAGGCUGUCUCCACCCGAGACUCAGUGAAAUUGAACUCGCUGUGAAGAUGCAGUGUACCCGCGGCAAGACGGAAAGACCCCGUGAACCUUUACUAUAGCUUGAC